UGGGUAUUCGUCUCUCUCCCCGCCCCUGAGAGUCUGGGAAAGGCUGACACGUGGUGCCUUCAGGCUCUGGGGCCUAGGACCUUUGUGGUAGCAGAGUCACUGCAGAGAACCAGACAAUACCAGGUUGCUUAUAAAAGGAUGCCAUGUGCUUGCUGGAGGUCCCAGGUGCAACCAAAUUGCUUGCAGCUAGGAGGACCUUGAAGAGAAAUGGGAUCAGCCCGCCAAACCAAGAAGGGUUAGCACUUUUGCUAGGAGAGCUGACCACGCACAAACAGAUGAGAACCAAAACCGAGUGAAGAGGAUUGAAGAUGAACCCACAUUUUAAAAGUUCUUGUCUGCUGGAGGUGGCAUUACCUGUGACCUCGCUUCACUUCUCCAUACAUGGCUGUUAUAGCAGAAAAUCCAGCUUUCUGAAGCAUAUUUCACGACAUAUGAUGAGACUUAUGUGAUGUGAGACCUGAGAAAACUAUGAUAGAAAGAAGCAACUCAAGUUGCAAGGAUAUUCCUCAUGUAUCAUGCAAGGAUAUUCCUCAUAUAUCAUGCUUUUUCUAUCUUCUGCUCUUUGCCACCUGUGAGGUCCCUGAAAAUGAAGGCCAAUACUACCCAGAGACUAAGGUGUCAGUAUGUUCUUCAAGCUGCUCUGCUCCUGGGCCCAAGCUAUUCUCCUGCCUCAGCCUUCCAAGAAGCUGAAACUACAAGAACACAAGACUGUACCUGGCUUGCAAACACCAUUGCUAAUAAGAAGAUAUUGUAAGACUGAUACCUAAGAGAUAAGAGACAUGGAUCCCUGAGGUCGGUCCCCAAUACGACAAGACAAUUUGAUAUCAUAAUAGAACACUGCAGAAACAAUGCUGAGUGAAGAAGAGUAGAAAUGGGAAGACUUGGUUGAGCGGAAACUGAGUUCUUGAAAAGAGGAGAUGCUUGAUGAGGGCAUGGAUCCCUGAGGUCUGCCCCAGUACUAUAAGACAAUUUGAUGUAAGAAAACACAGCAGAUAUAAUACUGAGUGAAGAAGAGUAUAAAUGAGAAGAUUGGUUGUGCAGAUACUGAGUUCAUGAAAAGAGGAGAUGAUUGAUGAGGCCAGGUGCGGUGACUCAUGCCUGUAAUCCCUGCACUUUGGGAGGCUGCGGCGGGCGGAUCACCUGAGGUCAGGAGUUCGAGACCAGCCUGGGAGACAGAGCAUGGAAACCUAAGGUCUGUACCCAAAACUACAGGACUAUUUGACAUCAUAAUAAAACACUGCAGAUAUGAUGCUGAGUAAGAGUAGAAAUGGGAAGACUUGGUUGUGCAGUAACUGAGUUCUUGAAAAGAGGAGAUGCUUGAUGAGGGCAUGGAUCACUAAGGUCUGUUCCCAAUACAAGAAGACUCUUUGACAUCAUAAUAAAAUACUGCAGAUACGAUGCUGAGUGAAAAAGAGUAGAAAUGGGAAGACUUGGUUGUGCAGAAACUGAGUUCUUAAAGAGAGGAGAUACUUUAUGAGGGCAUGGAAAGCUAAGGUCUUUCCAGAAUACUACAAGAGUACUUGAUAUCAUAAUAAAACACUAUAGAUAUGAUGCUGAGUGAGUAAGAGUAGAAAUGGGAAGACUUGGUUGUGCAGAAACUAAGUUAUUAAAAGGAGGAGAUGCUUGAUGAGGGGCUUUGACUCCUGGGUACAUGUAUCUCAUCUGAAAGGGAAUCCUGACGCCUACUGAAUCUUAAUAGUCAAUAUUGAUAUCUGGCAUCAAAUUCAAGUUGACCAAAGUUCCAUCUUCAGACCUGGGAGAAGAUGACAGUCAAAAUGAACUGCUUUCAUGUGACACUGGACCAGGCCUAUAUACAAAGGCAUAAGUAAUCAUUGAAUAAUGUUUCAUCUAUCUAUCUUAAUAUAAUUUGUUCUAUGCCUUACUAGAUAAAUGUUUAGUUACCUGUGAGUUUUCUUUUCCUGCCAUUGUCAGAGCUAGGCAGGGCUUAAGUCCCUUUCGUUUAAACAUUACUAACUCUAUACAUAGCUUGCAAAAUUGGAUAAAACAACAAAGGUUACUUUUUCACUCUCUCUCUGCUUAAUAUCUCUGAAAUUUAAAACUAUUCAGAAUCCCACUGGGCCCGAUCUAUUUUCAAUGCUAAUGCUCCACUGCUAAAACUAUAUAAGCAUCUUCCCUCUAGGCUCAGGCACUAUCUUGGAAGAGGUAAAUGUGUAAGAUUGUAAAGGUUGAUUUUUGAGCAACAAAAUUAAUUUAGAUCUUCCAAAUAAAAAAUGGGCACACAGAUGCCCAAACAGUUGGCAAAAUAAGAUACUUUACCUCCUGGACCAGUAUGUGGACCUUUUUCAUCCAUCCCAACCAUAAUUUCCUCUUUCCUGUAGAAUUAAAAGAAAAUUGCAAAGAGGAUAUGAACUUUUCUGGUAAGAAAACCUCCUGGGUAUAGUGCUCCCAGUUAUGAGAUUUAUGCAGAUUGUUAUAUAAAGUUUUUUUAAAUCAAGCACCUUAGGACAAACUAUUAAAAAGACUGCUAAAAGCGUUGUGACACAACAAAAGUCUCUAAAUUCUGUAGCUUAAAAAGUUUUAACAAAGUACUUAUCUUUUGCAAGCUAAUUGCUACAAGUCUAUAACUAAAACAUGUAUUGACUGAUGUCUUAGGUCUCCCUAAAAUAUAUAAAACCAAGUUGUAAACCAAUCACCUUGGACACAUGUUCUCAGGACCUCUGGAGACUGUGCCUUGGGCCAUGGUCACUCAUAUUUGGCUGAGAAUAAAAUUUUAAAAAUAUUUUACAGAGUUGGGUUUUUCUUGUUGGCUUUUUCAUAAAAUGUAAAAUGUUUGAGAAAGACACUUCUCAAGUGGCCAAGUGAGGAUAUUCUAGCUUAAUGCGUAGAAUUUAUAGCUAAGUCAAUUUUGUAACCUUGCCUUUUGACUUUUGGUUCUUGAUGCUUACAUUACAAAAUUUUAAGGUUUGAUAAAUGCCUGCUCCACUUCCAUUCCCAUCUGGCCUAGGAUAUUUAAAUUGGCUAUAAGUCUUUUGGCUCUACAUCUGUUGGCCGUGAGUCCCCACCAAGGGAUAGGAUAGACCCAGGGCACAUAGCCACACCACCCCAGCAAUGGUAUGCAACAAAAUGAUAGUUUGGCCAUUGAUGUUGCCUCUGGGAAAUUUUUUUUUUUUUUUUGACGAAGUCUUGCUCUGUUGCCCAAGCUGGAGUGCAGUGGUGUGUUCUAGGCUGACUGCAACCUUUGCUUCCUGGGUUCAAGUGAUUCUCUUGCUUCAGCCUCCCAAAUGGCUGGUAUUACAGACGUGCACCACCACACCUGGCUAAUUUUUUUUUUUUUUUUUUGAGACAGAGUCUCACUCUGUCAUUCAGGCUGGAGUGCAGUGGCACAAUCUCGGUUCACUGCAACCUCCAUUUCCCGGGUUCAAGUGAUUCUCCUGCCUCAGCCUCCUGAGUAGCUGGGAUUAUAGGCAUGCACCACCAGGCCCAGCUAAUUUUUGUAUUUUUUUGUAGAGAUGGGGUUUCGCCAUGUUAGUCAGGCUAGUCUCGAACUCCUGACCUCGUGAUCCACCUGCCUCGGCCUCCCAAAGUGAUGGGAUUAUAGGCGUGAGCCACUGUGCCUGGCCUAAUUUUAGUAUUUUUAGUAGAGAUGGGGUUUCGCAAUGUUGGCCAGGCUAGUCUCGAACUCCUGACUUCAGGUGAUCUGCCUGCCUUGGCCUCCCAAAGUGCUGGGAUUACAGGUGUGAGCCACCACGCUUGGCCUCCUCUGCUCAAUCCUGACCAGAAAAAUCAAAUUCUAACUCCCCCAAUCAACUGAAUUCCCCUCCAUUCAUCUGCCAAGGGGAUUCUAAAGAAUCCUGAAAACUAGUUCAGGCCAUGACAAUUGACAUUAAAACAGAUCUUAAAACUGACAAAACAGAUUCUUUGUAGCAAUAAGAUACCAAAUUUCAACCUGACUCAGGUAUAACUUCACAUGAUAAAAAAGGAAAUAAAAAUAUUUUACCCCCAAAAUAGAUUUCUUUGACAUAUUUUGAAAUGGCCCUGCAAGGCAGUUGGGGAAAUUUUGCAUCUGUAAAGCAUCUCCUUAACAUAACUAGAUCUUUCCCCUUCCAGGCCCUCCUAAACCUGAAGAGAUUAACUGAGAUUCUAGCACCUUUUAAAGUCUACAUAGGAAACAUUCACCAUUUAUUAUCUCUAAGGGCAGCCACUUAUGAGACUUCAUCUAUGUAAUAAAAACCUUGGUCUCCACAACCCCUUAUGUUAACCCAGACACUCCUUUCUAUUGAUUCCAGGUCUUUAGAAAAUAACUUAACUCCUCCAAGCAAUUGCCAAACAGAAAACCUUGGCAUCUUCCUAUGACCUGUAAGCACCCACUUUCCCCUGCUUUAAGUUGUCCUACCCUUCUGCACCAAACCAAUGUAUACCUCACAUGUAUUGAUUGAUGUCUUCUGUCUCUCUAAAACAUAGAAAAGAAAGCUGUAACCCAACCACCUUGGUCAGGACGUCUUGAGACUGUGCCUUGCGCCAUGGUCAGUCGUAUUUUGUGCAGAAUAAACAUUUUUCAAUAUUUUACAGAGUUUGGCUUUUUUGUUGACUUUUUUCAUAAAACAUGAAAGAUUAUGUUUGAGAAAGGCGUUUCUCAAGUGACCAUGUGAAGAUGUUGGGAAAUCCUCUCGCCAAAGAACAACUAUGAAAUGGACAAAACCAACCAUUUCUGUGCUCUGGAAAUUAAAUGUGCACAACAAUGUUAAACUUUGGGCAAGAAAGUUUGAACUCUGAUACGGUUUUGAUUUGUGUCACUGCUGAAAUCUCUUGUGCAAUUGUGACCCUCAGUGUUGGAGGAGGGGCCUGGUGGGAAGUGAUUGGAUCAUGGGGGUGGAUUUCCCCCUUGCUGUUCUCAUGUAGUGAGUGAGUUCUCGUGAGAUCUGGUUGUUUAAAAGUGUGUAGCAUCUCCCCCUGCUCUCUUCCUCCUUCUCUGGCCAUGUAAAACCUGCCUGCUUCCCCUUUGCCUUCUACCAUGAUUGUAAGUUUCCUGAGGCCUCCACAGCCAUGCUUCCUGUACAGACUGUGGAAGUGUAAGUCAAUUAAACGUCUUUAGUCUUUAAACCUAUAAAUAUCUUUGUAACAACUUCCUUAGCUACAAUCUAUAAGUUAUUUAUAGAUUACACAGUCUCAGGUAGUUCUUAAUAGCAAUGCAAAAAUGCACUAAUACAAACCCUGUUUUGGUCUGGCCUGUGGCUGCUUCCGUAUUUCUCUUUCCUAGGUCCAUCUAUAGGGACAUUCUGCCAAGGUGAAAUAAAGACUGAUAAAAUUCCUUACUAGCAAACUUGUAUUACAAGAAAUAACUAAAAACAGUCCUUCAGUCUAAAAGGAAAUGACUCUAUAUGGUGACUUGAAUCCACAAGAAUAAAUGAAGGGCACAGGAAAUGGUAAAUAGCUGGGUUAAUAUAAAAAAGACUCUAUGUAUUGUUUUUUCAUUUUUUCUAUAUUAUCUAAAUGACCUAAGAUUAUGUGAAGUAAUAAUUAUUACAUUGUACUGUUGGUUUUAAAAUAUAUAACUGUAAUUUAUAUGAUAACAGACCAAUGUUGGAGGGGUUUGGAAAUAAAUAUGAGCAAAGUUUCUAUGUUUUACUUGAAGUAAGUUAGUAUUAAGCUGAUGUAUAUUCUGAUAGGUUAAAAUGUAUAUUGUAACCCUUAGAACAACUAUUAAAAUAAAUCAAAAGC
rnacentral:lncRNA from 10 species